ensembl:lncRNA
UACUGUCACAGACUCAUCUUUAUCCUGACCCUUGGUGCAAGGCUCAGGCUCCGAGAACUUCACCCCACCUCCGAUACUUCCACCUCAUUCACUUCCAUUUUGCCUCCUGUCUUCAGCUCACUCUACCUACGCUUUUUACUAUUCUUCUUUCAGGGAAGGGUUAGAUAACAUGGUUAGGGUUUGUGGAAGGGUUAGGUAACAUGGUUAGGGUUUGUGGAAGGGUUAGAUAACAUGGUUAGGGUUUGUGGAAGGGUUAGGUAACAUGGUUAGGGUUUGUGGAAGGGUUAGGUAAAAUGGUUAGGGUUUGUGGAAGGGUUAGGUAAAAUGGUUAGGGUUUGUGGAAGGGUUAGAUAACAUGCUAAGUAGUUGCAAAGUCGCUAAAAAGUAGUAAGUUGCUAAAAUGCUAAAGUUGUCCGUGAUAAGACCUUUGGGUUGCUCGACGUUUGCGU